GGAUACGAGGGUGAUCUGGCUAUGACAUCUGUCAUCCCACUGAUCAACAGGGUUGAUUUGAUGAUUUGGUUGGCUAGGCGGGUAUCCUCUCCUCCCUCAAUGCUCCAUGUGCGUCACUCUGGAAGCUGUGCACGCAUGCUCGGUUGAAGAGGACGCCUUUCCUGAAUAGAGACAGACUGCAGUCUUCAGUCCAGUAGCUGCGCUCCCCUGCUAGAACCUCCAAACAAGCUCUCAAAGUCCAUUUGGAGGAGAACGUAGCAUAUUCAAGCUUCCAAAACUCCAGACACAUCCAAAUGAGGAGCUGCAUGUAGCAGUCUGCCUAAAAAA
rnacentral:snRNA from 1 species